rnacentral:snoRNA from 1 species
AUUCCGUGAUGAAGGCACUUUCACAAUAAUUCUUUAUCCUUUCCCAUGCCUCAUACAAGGACUCGUCAUCCAUUUUUUGAAAAGUAGUGAUCUUAUUCCUCAACUU